AGAUCAAAACAAAAAAUGAGAUACAAAAUAUGAGAAGUAUUACCUCCAUUUUAGGUUAAGAUGUUCUAUUUUUUCUGAGAUUCAUCUGAAUAUUAAUGAAUCCGACAUAUAUAUAUAAAUCAUAUAUAUUGGUUCAUGGAUGAAUCUAAAAAAAUAAAACAUCUUAUAAACUAAAACGGUUUGACUUCUACAAGCUUUCUAUCCAUCAUUC
rnacentral:lncRNA from 1 species